CUACACAACCUCUGCAAGCGGAGGAACAUUCCACAGCCAGACGAUGAUGACGAUGAAGAGGACGAUGACCCCGAUGAUGAUGAUGAUGGCGCUCGACAACAUGACAAUGAAUUUGGCCGUGUGGAACCGAGUGGACUGGCAUUUAGGGAUCACUUUGUGAAUACACAUUUUAGUGAACUGGUACCAGCAGCAGGAGGGAGAGGAGAGCCAGUGGGUGCACCAAGAGGGAGAGUUGGAAGAGAAAGGGGUGGAAGAGGAAGAGCUGUGAGAGGAGGUGCAGCUGGGAGAGGAAGAGCUGUGAGAGGAGGUGCUGCUGGAAGAGGAAGAGCUGGCAGAGGAAGGGCUAGGAGGGGGAGAAGAGGAAGAGCUGUGUGAUGUGAUGCUGCAGCUGGACUUUCAUCUUCAUUUCUCCUGUGGGGAAUAUAUAUAUAUUUAAUUUGUAACACAUUUUUGGGAAGUGGGUUGACCAGUUGCACGUUGUAAUUCUUCUGUAAAUAUUAAACAGAAAGGUUUUUCAUGAA